rnacentral:rRNA from 1 species
UAAGUCGAUCGGCAGAGAGGGAUCAUUCUUGGUGGCGAGUGNCGGACGGGUGAGUAAUAUAUCGGAACGUGCCCGAUGGUGGGGGAUAACUCAUGGAAACGGUUGCUAAUACCGCAUAAGUUCUACGGAUGAAAGUCGGGGACCUUCAGGCCUUGCGCGAUCGGAUGGGCCGAGGUCGGAUUAGGUAGUUGGUGAGGUAAUGGCUCACCAAGCCGACGAUCCGUAGCUGGUCUGAGAGGAUGACCAGCCACACUGGGACUGAGACACGGUCCAGACUCCUACGGGAGGCAGCAGUGGGGAAUAUUGGACAAUGGGCGCAAGCCUGAUGCAGCCAUGCCGCGUGUAUGAAGAAGGCCUUCGGGUUGUAAAGUACUUUAAGUGGGGAGGAAGGGGUCGUAUCUAAUAGAGGGGUCUAUUGACGUUACCGUCAGAAUAAGCACCGGCUAACUACGUG